UACCCUGGUAGUCCACGCAGUAAACGAUGAGCGCUAACUGUCCGGAGCGAGCGAGCUCUGGGUGGUACAGUGAAAACGUUAAGCGCUCCACCUGGGGAGUACGCCGGCAACGGUGAAACUCAAAGGAAUUGACGGGGGCCCGCACAAGCGGAGGAACAUGUGGUUUAAUUCGAUGAUACGCGAGGAACCUUACCCGGGCUCAAACGUAAGCGGAAUAACGGUGAAAGCCGUUAGCUAUUUAUAGCCGCUUACGAGGUGCUGCAUGGUUGUCGUCAGCUCGUGCCGUGAGGUGUCGGCUUAAGUGCCAUAACGAGCGCAACCCCCAUCGCCAGUUGCUAACAAGUAACGUUGAGGACUCUGGCGAGACUGCCGGCGCAAGCUGCGAGGAAGGCGGGGAUGACGUCAAAUCAGCACGGCCCUUACGUCCGGGGCGACACACGUGUUACAAUGGCAGGUACAGAGAGAAGCCAUCCCGCGAGGGAGAGCGGAACUUUAAAGCCUGUCUCAGUUCGGAUUGGAGUCUGCAACCCGACUCCAUGAAGCUGGAUUCGCUAGUAAUCGC
rnacentral:rRNA from 1 species